UCUCAUCACACUUAUCAUUCAUAAAACUGAAAUUAUCCCAAUUGGUUGUUGCAUGAUUAAGGUUUUCUUCAAUAAUAAAACUAUGAUGAGGGAGGAACAUGUGUAUUAGUGAGUUGAGGGUCUCUCUUAAGUUUUCACUUACACCUUCGAGUGAGUCUGGCGGCCAAAGGAUUCCGUUACAAGAUUAUGCACAUGCGUGAUAUAUCUUGGUCAAUUGAUCUCCCAUAGCCUAUCUUAUGAAUACACACUUAGUUUAAUCACAAAAGUCUCACUGCUGUCAAUUUUGGAUUUUAGACAGCUUUCUGUACCAAGUAGUAUAUGAGCUCCACUGCUUUUUAGUACUGCUUCAAACUCUGGGACUUCAUUGUGAAGGAUUAUAAUUAUUUCACCUGUUGGUGUGAUUUUUUGGUUUCAUGCUAAUACUGUAGGAUCUCCUAGAGCUAAUAUGUAGACUGGAUGGAGAGUUGCCUAAGCUAAAAUAUUCUUGUGUGCCUCUCACACACAAGUCAUCCACCCAAAUAGCAGCCCCUUGUGUGUGGUGCACCUUUGCCUCAUUUAGAAGACCCUACGAUUCUCAUCCCUGUGGCAAAGUCCAGGAAGUCAGAACCACCCCACUCUGGUUCAAGCCUCCUAGUCUUGUGCAAACUCCUUUCCAUAGCAGCCUAAUUGCAAGCAUGUUCAUAUAUACAAAGACAACAUCUGAUAUUUUGUAACAAAGUAAUCAUGUCAUUAAGCUAUUGGGAUAAACUGACUGGCCACUAUUAAGAACAAUAGAACAAUGUUUAAAGACUGUGUUCCACUGUAUAUGAAUCACAGAACCACAUUAAACUAAGAGAAGACUGUCCAUCAAGGGAUAGGGAUUACAACCAAGUUAAAUCAUAUUAGAAAUUGUACAGUAAAAUUUUAAGCAAAGUCAUCAGAAUAUCAAAAUGUAUGCACUUAAAAAGAAGCACCUCCAGCAUCAAAAUAAGAGCUAUAUGGAACACAGUAAAAUAUGUGACAGGAUCAACAAAUCUAGGGAAUGAAAGAAUUUCUUUAAAAGUAGGUAAUUAAUAUAUCAAAAAGAGCACAAAAAUUUGUAGCAGAGAAUUUAGAUUUGGACACUUCCUUUGUAGACAAUGAACAGUUUGUAGGAGCAGCCUCCCAAAACAAACUGGAUAAAAUUGAAUUCCAGACUGCAUCUCCAAAACAAGUUUUCAGUGUUUUUAACUCUUUGAAAAAUGAUUGUUCAAGUGUUUAUGAUGAGCUCAGUACGAAAAUAAAUAACUGUUGUUCAGUUGAACAUGCUGACAUAUUGAGGUAAUUAUGUAAUAAUCUUUUCACAAUUGUACUUCACCAGAAAAACUUAAACAAGCUCUUGUUAAACCACCUCAUAAAAAAAGGAGACAAAAUAUGAGUAAAGAACUUACCACCUCAUCUCAUUACUGCUUGUGUUUUCAAAACUAUCCCAGAUGCUGCUGUACAAUAAUAGAAUUUACACACAAUUAGUAUAAUAAAAUAUAGUUAGUAGCAAGCAGUUAAAAAAAAGAGACUAUCAACUGAACAGAAUCUGAACACUUAACGUACUGCCGAAGGGAACGUUUUGCAACUUUCCUAAGACUUUUGAUUGUGUGAAUCAUGAUAUUGUCAUGAGAAGUUAAAAUAUUUUCUAAUAAUAGACAUGACAGAUUACAGUUUAGAACUUACCUAAAAAUUGCUUUACAAUAGGCCCUCAGAAUUUGAAGCAAUACUACAUGGUGUACCAGGGGAAAAAAGUUAAUGAACUAUACACUGAUAUGCCAAAGAAACUGGUAUAGGCAUGCAUAUUCAAAUAAAGAGAUAUGUAAACAGGCAGAAUAAGGUGCUGGUGUCGGCAACGCAUAUGUAAGACAACUAGUGUCUGGUGCAGUAGUUAGAUCGAUUACUGCUGCCACAAUGGCAAAUUAUCAAGAUUUAUGUGAGUUUGAGUAUGGUGUUAUAGUCUGCAUACGAACAAUGGGACACAGCAUCUCUGAGGUAGGAAAGAUGUGGGCAUUAGGCCGCACAUGGUGUAUGUGCGGAUGGAUAUGUGUGUGUGUGUGUGUGUGUGUGUGCGCGCGCGCGAGUGUAUUCCUAUCCUUUUUCCCCCCUAAGGUAAGUCUUUCUGCUCCCAGGAUUGGAAUGACUCCUUACCCUCUCCCUUAAAACCCACAUCCUUUCAUAUUUCCCUCUCCUUCCCUCUUUCCUGACGAAGCAACUGCCGGUUGCGAAAGCUCGAAUUUUGUGUGUAUGUUUGUGUGUCUAUCGACCUGCCAGCACUUUUGUUUGGUAAGUCACAUCAUCUUUGUUUUUAGAUAUAUUUUUUCCACAUGGAAUGUUUCCCUCUAUUAUAUUCAUAUCUUUGAAAAUAAUGUAACACGUACAGUAACAACCAUUAAAAAAAUGGUUUUAACUUCAAUUUCUCAUUCCUAAGCACAAAGAGUGGCAUAUUUAUGUACCUUAGACUAAUCACAAGAAUUAUGGACCUGCACCAACUAUUAAAUGGAAUUAGUGACGGGCAAUUCUUAGUGCACUAAACAGGGGUGCUGACAUAUUUGUUGAAAUCUACAUCUCAUGAACGGGUGAUACAAAAUUAUGUUUUCAUGUGGAAUAUCCAGCUUCUUGAAAUCACAAAGUAAGAAACUAUUGUGUGACAAUGACUGAUAGUAUUUCAUUGAAUGCCGACUCGUUAAGACAGAUGUAUGACAGCAAAGCAUUCCCGAAAAAAUAUAAAUAACUUUCUUUUUGUUCGACAAUAUUGGCUGUAAAUCUGAUUUAAGGAAAUUGAUCCCCAGGCCACCUAAUACACGUAUAAAGCAUGAAUGAUAAAAGUAUGGCUAGCUGAUAAGUUAUUCAUGUCAUGAUAAUCAAACAAAGGAAAAUCCAGGAUGGAAUGUAACAAUAUUAUGAGAAGGAAAGUUGCUACUCACCAUAUAGCGGAGAUGCUGAGUCGCAGAUAGGCACAGCAAAAAGUCUCUUACAAUUACAGCUUUCAGCCGUUAAGGCCUUCGUUAACAAUAGACAGACACGCGCGCGUGUGCGCAGAAGCACAUGUCUGCAGUCAGUCAACCUGCAGCACCUCACUGUUCCCCACCCUCACCAUACUAUCUCUGCCCCUCCCCACUCCAGCCCUGUCCUUACCCCCACCCAGUAGCCACUACCAUCAUGCACUGGUGCUGCUGCUCGCAGUGUGGUUUCAGUUGCUUAUUUUUUCAUGUCAUGAUAACCUUUUUUUUGCCAAAGCUAUGCCUUAAUUUCUUUUUGAAACCAUUUACUUUUUACAGGGGUUUGCUUUCAUAGUUUUGCAUGCAAAAUAAGUUAUAAAUAAGAAGUGCAUGAAUAAGUGAAAACUGCAACAAUCAACCAUAUCCCGCCCAAAAUUUUUGAAGUAUCCGUGAAAACCCACUGGUUCCACAUGACACCACUGUGUUCUGGUUUGUACACAUCACUAGAUGGCAGCAACAACAGGAUGAUGAGCAUACAGGAUAUUUCUGCCAGCUUGUAAUCAAAUGAAUUCAUGGAUUUGUUACAUCAGUUCUGCUAAUGAAGUGAUGUUAUUUUUUAGUAUUACAAGCUUCUAAACAAAUGGGUCCAUGUGGACACAGUGGGAACAUUAGUAUCUUGGGGUAAGUACAAGUGAGAUUAUGUAAAAAAAUAUUACUGUGUGAAUGAACCAAUUUUAUUUCCCUUUCCAGAUGUCUAAAUUAUCAACAGAAGUUGUUAUGAUGAAUGAUGAAGCUUCUGAUGUUAUCAAAAAACUGCAGGAAUAUUUGGAUGAUGAAGUGAUUGAAAAUAAUGUGGACUAAUGGAAGACUCAGAUGCAGUGAGGGAAGAGCCUUGUAAUGGUUUGCCAGUUGAGCCUGUUUCUCGGUCUUUUGAUUCUAAUGAUAAUUAAACAGGAAUUACCACUAGGCCUACUCUCUUCGUAAUGGCGAUAGUGAUGACUUGAUGAUGUUCCAUUGGCUCAAAUAAUGAAGAAACUACAAAAUAAAACCAGCAGUUGUAUGGGGAAAUCAUGAUCACAAUUUAUCCAAUUUGACCGAUUCUGUAACCUAGUCACCUGAGCAUGACACACCUACAGUAUUUAAAUUUUUUUUCUUCUGAUGACACGAAAAAUACAGUGGAUAAGAACAGGAGGAGAACUUGGAGAACGGGAAGUAGUGUCAAUACAACUUCUGCAGAAAUUAAACAAAUUUUUUGUGUACAUAUGAGUGGAGUAGUAAAUGUAGGUUGCUUCUACUGGCCUGAACAUAGUCGAGUCGAAAGAAUUGCAGGGGGUAGGCAUUAAUAAAUUAUGAUCAUAUAUUCAUUUUAUAUAAGUAAAGACAAUAUGAUGGCCAGAGAUGACCCAAAUCACAACACACUUCAAAAUUCAUCCUUUCAUCUCCAAUUUGGAAAGGGAGGAGUAACCCCUUCAAAGGGUGAUCCUCUCUGAAGCAAUAUACAAAAUAAGUGAUGGAUAAAGGUAUUUACAAGUACAAGUAAUAGUGGGAUUUUACACGCCUUCAAAAUAUAUACUGGGAGAAAUAGUUAGUAAUACUAACUUGGAAAUAAGUGUCGAUAUUGUCAAAUAUGACCCCAGACAGCACAAACUACAAACUUACCUUCAACAAUUGCUUACUCCGAGGACCGAAGUUUUAAAUUGGCCUCUACAUCGCCAGUGCGUUGCAGUUUGUGCCUUGAGAACGGAAGGGUGUACUCCCUCCAAAAUAUCGGCAAUUGCAGUAAAUUUUACUUGGCUGCAUUCCCAUAAGUUGUUUGAAGAUUGUAUACGUCAGGAGAAACUCAGGUCUUACAAUUGCUUACUUAACAUUCACUAUUAGUUAUACUACAAGAAUGCAGAAAUUGGAUUGCUGCAUGAUUCAAUUUAAUAGGAUGUCAAUUUGUGACCUGACAUCAGACAAAGCUCACAUCAUUAGAAUGUGGGUCUAGUGAUGACAAAACGGAUGAAAACAACAACACAAAAUGUUUGGCAAUAAAAGUUCACACGAUAUCUUUGUACAUGUGUGUCAAGCGAUUAUACUAAAAUGGUCAGUAAAUGACCUUCUAGACAUGCUUGUCUCCUUGUACAGCAUAAAGUUAAGGGCAAAAAGAUAUUACCUUUGGAUCAUUUUUCAUCUUGCUGAUACAUGUGUAGUAAAUGCUUGGCUUCUAUAUAAGUGGCACUGUUCCUAGCUAAAAGAGAGGCCUAUGUCUUCAAUGAAGUUUGGACUAGAAGUAGCCAAUGCAUUGCUUCAGACAUUGUGACUCUUUAAGAGGAAACAUGGCCGCCCAUCAACUGAACAAUGAACCAUCAACUGAACAAUGAAAGAUGCAAAUUGUUUAUACACAAUUUAUCACACACUAGGUGCCCAAAAUGUGAUGUAGCAUUAUGUCUCCAUAGCAAAAAGGACUGUUUUGUAAAAUUUCACACCAAAUGAAAACUGGGCUUUCAGUGAGGUCCAUUAUUUGUCUUGGUUAUCUUUUUUGCUAUUAGUGAAUCAAAAGCUAUUAAAGUAGUUGUUUCGAGCUUUUAAGACUAUUUUAUGAAUACUAUUGAUUGAAUAUAAAUUCCUGACCUGUGUUCCCACCAAAUCUGUAUGACACCCUCCUACCCCACAUACACAAAGCUAAAAAAAAUUGAAAUAAUUUUUAAUGUGUUGCUAGUAUUUGCAAGUAAAAAAAGGGCCUGGGAAAGAUUAACUUGAUAGAACAGAUAUUUGUAAAAAUAUGUUAUAAGAUUUGAGGUCAAUGAGUGUACAAGAAAUUAACUGUGUAAUAAAUGCUUAAUGACAAUUUUGGAAUUGGGUGAAAAAAUGAAAAGCUAGUUCCUUUCACAUUAAAUUUAAUUAACAACACAAACUGAGGCAAAUUACAUUAUUUGUUUUUAUUAGACAAAUGUUUAAUAUCCCAAAAACUAGCAACUCUGACAAAAAUAUUAAACCCUAAAAAAUAAAAAAAAUCAGCAAACAUUUUCAUAAAUACAGUAUAAAGCCUACAGCAAUCGUGUUAUGAAGGACUGCAGGAAGGCAACUGGAUAGUGUGUAGAACAGUGUUUGUAGGCAAUGUAAAUAUUUUGCAACAAUUUUAGUGAAACUUUUUUUCUUCAACAGUUACAUUUCAAAUGAAU